AAACUGCCCCAAGAUUCUAGAACAAGAGGGAAUAGUGGAGAUUGAUAGAAUCCACAGAUCACCUCCUGUACUUAAUACCCAACUGACAACACCCAGGAAUGUUAUAGCCAAAUUCAAGAACUAUCAGACCAAAGAAAAGAUAUUACAAGAUGCCAAGAAGAAGUCAUUCAGAUACCAAGGAACCACAGUGAGGAUAACUCAGGAUCUGGCUGCAUCCACACUGAAAAAAAAGAAAGGCAUAGAAUAUGAUAUUCUGGAAAGCAAGGGAACUGGGUCUACAACCAAGAAUCAACUACCCAGCAAAACUGACUAUAUUCUUACAGGGGAAAGUAUGGUCAUUCAACAAAAUAGAAGAAUUUCAAGAAUUCAUAAAGAAAAGACCAGACCUGAAUAGAAAAUUUGAUGUACAAGCACAGAACUCAAGAGAAUCAUCAAAAGGCUUUAUAGCUCCAGUUUCUUCUUCAGUAACAUGGUUUGAAGUUCCUUCACCAUCUUGUGUGAUCUUCUCAUGGACAGAAAAGUGUGUUAACGUCCCUCCUAAAGUAGGUAACCAGAAUUGGACCAGCACUAAAAAAAUAAAGAUGAUAAUGAUGAAUUUUAACAACUGGCAUUUUAUAACACUUUAAGGUUUCCAGA
rnacentral:lncRNA from 1 species